UACGUAGGCAGCAAGCGUUGUUCGGAGUUACUGGGCGUAAAGGGUGCGUAGGCGGCUUCUUAAGUCUGGUGUGAAAUCUCCCGGCUCAACUGGGAGGGUGCGCCGGAUACUGAGGGGCUAGAGUGUGGGAGAGGAAAGUGGAAUUCCUGGUGUAGCGGUGAAAUGCGUAGAUAUCAGGAAGAACACCAAUGGCGAAGGCAGCUCUCUGGGACGGUACUGACGCUGAGACGCGAAAGCGUGGGGAGCGAACAGG
rnacentral:rRNA from 1 species